CAAACAGGAAAAGGAGAAGAGAUGAGAAGCCUACAGGCCACAGAUCUGGGCUUUAGAGACCUAGUCUUUCUGACCACAAGUUUGGUUUCUCUGACUCAAGGAUCUGAGAACCCUGCAUAACCGGAAUGAACAUGAUCACACAGUAUGUCUUCCCAAGACUGAACUUUUGCUUCUCUGGCUGAAACAGUCUCACCUGAGCAUGUGACCCCUGUACCAAGACCUGUUUGUACAUUAUGCAGAUUUUUAGUCUCAAAUUCCUUCACCUACGGGAAGAAAUGUGGUUGUAUGAUUAAGUUCCAGGACUGGGAAUCAAGAUUCCUGGGAUCUAUUCCUGGCUCUGCAAGAAAUGGAUAAGUAUUUUAACUUUUGUCUCCAGUUCCACACAGAUAUGAUAGUACCUAACUGAUAGAGCUGUUAUGAGGCUUAACUAAUGUGUGUGAAGUGCUUUUCAGAUCCUUGGGCACUAUAGUAGUGAAAUGUGAAAGAUCAUAAAUCAG